rnacentral:rRNA from 1 species
GACGAACGCUGGCGGCGUGCUUAACACAUGCAAGUCGAACGGAAAGGCCCUGCUUGCAGGGUACUCGAGUGGCGAACGGGUGAGUAACACGUGGGUGAUCUGCCCUGCACUUCGGGAUAAGCCUGGGAAACUGGGUCUAAUACCGGGUAGGAGCCAUUUUUAGUGUGAUGGUUGGAAAGUUUUUUCGGUGUAGGAUGAGCUCGCGGCCUAUCAGCUUGUUGGUGGGGUAAUGGCCUACCAAGGCGGCGACGGGUAGCCGGCCUGAGAGGGUGGACGGCCACAUUGGGACUGAGAUACGGCCCAGACUCCUACGGGAGGCAGCAGUGGGGAAUAUUGCACAAUGGGCGCAAGCCGGAUGCAGCGACGCCGCGUGGGGGAUGACGGCCUUCGGGUUGUAAACUCCUUUCGCUAGGGACGAAGCUUUUUGUGACGGUACCUAGAUAAGAAGCACCGGCUAACUACGUG